ACUAAUAUACACAGCAUUCGCGUCCGUGUUGUAUGAGAUGUACAAACUCAAAGCAGAGGUGGGUGGUUGUAUGUCGGUUACAGCACGGACGAGGAUGCUGUAGGCUAUAUAG